rnacentral:rRNA from 1 species
GGAAGCCUACCAUGCAAGUCGAGCGGUAGAGAGAAGCUUGCUUCUCUUGAGAGCGGCGGACGGGUGAGUAAUGCCUAGGAAUCUGCCUAGUGGUGGGGGAUAACGUUCGGAAACGGACGCUAAUACCGCAUACGUCCUACGGGAGAAAGCGGGGGAUCUUCGGACCUCGCGCCAUUAGAUGAGCCUAGGUCGGAUUAGCUAGUUGGUGAGGUAAAGGCUCACCAAGGCGACGAUCCGUAACUGGUCUGAGAGGAUGAUCAGUCACACUGGAACUGAGACACGGUCCAGACUCCUACGGGAGGCAGCAGUGGGGAAUAUUGGACAAUGGGCGAAAGCCUGAUCCAGCCAUGCCGCGUGUGUGAAGAAGGUCUUCGGAUUGUAAAGCACUUUAAGUUGGGAGGAAGGGUAGUAACUUAAUACGUUGCUACUUUGACGUUACCGACAGAAUAAGCACCGGCUAACUUCGUGCCAGCAGCCGCGGUAAUACGAAGGGUGCAAGCGUUAAUCGGAAUUACUGGGCGUAAAGCGCGCGUAGGUGGUUCAGUAAGU